AACCACACACAAAAGAAAAAAUGGUAACUAUGUGAGGUGAUGGAUAUGUUAGCUUGAAUGUGAUCAUUUCACAGUAUAUGUAUAUGUUGAAACAUCAAAUUGUAUAACUUAUAUAAAUUUCUAUUUAUUAUACUUCAAUCAAACAAGAAAAAAAAAGGCAUGGACAUUUAAAAAGCUUGUUUCCUCUUGACAGAUUGAUUUCUUGAAAUUUCUUUCACUGAAAAAGAAAACCAGGAACUAUUUGAAGGCUGUGGCCUGAGUCGGCUGUUGGAAGCACAGUCGUCCCUGAGAGGGCCUGUGCUGUAGGAGGGGAGGUCACGUUGGUUCACUCCCGGGGUGGGUGAGACCUUGAAGGAACAAUCUCCUUGAUGCAGCAGGAAGUGGCCCUGGUGGCAGGUGGUGGCUCUGGUCCAGAUGAAGGCCCAACCAAAUCAAACACACCUUGCAUUAAUAAAAACCUCCUCUACUUGGACUAUGGGUGAAAAUUCUAAGACCCUGGGCCUGUGUUCUUCUGAAUUCCAUACAUGUGAAGCAGCUGCCUCCUUUUAUCUCAAACAAUGCCAGGCAAGUUAAAUGUUCUCCUGAGACCUAGCUGUGGAUGGCCAUCUUUUAAAUUAGGAAAACCAAGUAAGAUGUUCCACAUCCUUUUUUGCAUCCAAGGCUCUGGAACAUAAUCUGUAUAUGUCAACUCAAUGUUCAUGCACCCCCUGCAUACCUGACUCCAGGGAAACAGGGCAAGAUCAUAUCACCGUAAGAGUCAAGAAACAAUAGUAUUACAUCACUGUGUGAGUAAGAUAAAGGAAGGCACAACGGGAAGACCUCAAGAGUUUGCACAUUUGGGUUCGGAUUGUUCUGCACUCGCCACCAGUGGAAUCUUAGGCAAGUUACUAAACCUCUUGCUUUCUACCUUUACAUCUGUAAAAUGGCAAUCGUGAUUUUUAUCUAGCAGGACUUUUUUGUAAGGAUUACAUGAGAUAAUGCACAUAAAACCUCUAGCACACUGACUGACUCACAAUGAGUGUUCCAUGAAUGAGAGCUAUUACUGUGAUUUGGACUGAGGAUCGAGACACCUUCUCUUCCAUAGGAAGAGCAGAAGAUAUCAACAGAUUGGAGGAAUAAUCAUGCCAGCUGGGUGAACAUCAGGCUGAUGCUUGGUUCAGGAGUGAGAAGACAAAGGUGGUAUCUGGUUUAGGUACAAAACAAUACAUGACCAAUAGCAGCAGUGGCCAAAAUCCUCUCCAUGGCAGAAAGUAGGUAUCAAACACGACCACUUAAAGAGCUUGUUCCUAGAUCUGGCCCUUUCUUAAGAGAUAAUUUUAUUACUAUUUUCUGGAACAGUGGGACAUAUUCAUUUUUUUCGAAUUUUAUGUUCCAUGAGGGAGGGACCAUCCCUUAUUCAUGUACCCAAUAGAGUGCCUGGCCAGGACAACGGUUCAAGAAAUAAUUUUUAAUUGAAGUAAAAUGGUGGACUUAACCCUGUUUUGCAAGGCAGAGUAAUGGAAACUAGAAAACUUACUAUAAAUAAUGCCAUUGCAAUAUUGUUUCCAGCAUUUUCACAAUAUGUAGAGUUAGCCAAGUACGGCUAAGUACUAUUAGUCAAGUACCGUUAAGAACCUCUGUGGUGAUCUUCACUGUAGAAAAAAAUGACAAGAAGAACAAAAUCCAAAAUAUCUUAAGACUAUUUUUAUUGAAUAGCCUGGCUUUGUUUCUAAUCUUUCCUCAGCCCAUGUUCACAUCUGUGGCCUCCCUUUUAUGAGCUCUGGAGCUAUAAAUCUAAAAGAAGACAGAUAAGGUAGGAACCAUGUUAAACAAAAUCCCCACCAAAAUGACACUCACACAGGAGUGGCCCCCCUUUAUCUCAUCACUACUCUGUUUUGAUGGAGUCUGUUUCCCUUUUACAAAGGGUUUGCCGUCUGAGAGGUGAUCAUUUUACCUGGGAGACCAAAAGUCACUCCCUGGCUAGGUAUUUCCCAAAGGAGUUGUACUGCAUGUCCCAGAGGGUGGCUGCUGGGCUAACUUAACCCUCUGGGUUGCUGUAAAACGCUUUGAUUUUGAUCUAUGGUUGGACAGACUGGGCUCUUUGAUAACCUCAAUGCAUUUCCCUGGAAAUGUAAGUAUGCAUCCAUAUGCUGACUCAUUCUGGGUGCAGUGAGCACAGAAUCCCCUACAGAAGGUGGAGACUGCAGAGGCUAAAACUUCAUUUGAAGACAAGGGGGAAGGGCGUGGGAAGGAGAAAACAACACUGCAGAGGAUUGUUCUGGGUUGAUUAUUUACAGACACUUUGACAGCAGCCAGAUAAGGGAUGGGUCCCGGGCUGGUAACUAUUUCUGUGGUGCUUCCUUUAGGCCUUUACAUUUUAUGAUAAAGAUGAUUUGACAUGUUUAUUAAGUACUUUGGUUGCCCUGGAAGUUGGACAUGUAUCUGCUGGGACACCACAUAGCAAUUCCUCCUGUCUGCUACAAGCCUCAGCUUCCAUUUGGCCAAAAUGUUGGGUUUGGUUACAUCUUUGUAGGUAUGAGACACUUUCAAAGGGAUAGUAUUUACUAAAUUUAGCUCCAUAAAGCCUGCCUUUCAUCGGAAAGGAUCACAAUGUAACUGCAGGUUUUUCUGCAGGGAAUAAUCUCUACAAUAGACAUCAAGUCACCCUGCACACUAAGAGUAUGAAGAUGAUUAGUUUAAUGGGUAAGGGUAACUGGCUUGAUAGAAACUGCAGGGGAAACAAAGAAAACUGCAGGGGAACCAGAUAGGAUUCUGACCAGGGCACUGGGGCUCAUCAGAACAACGGGCACCAGCAACAUUUGUGAUCUCAGCUAGAGCCAGCCCAAGCUGGGUUACUUUCACAGCAUCAGAAACACCAAUUAAUAAGAAACCUUUUCAAGUGAGGAGUCUGUUCCUUGUCACAUUCUUAGAACUAAGAAAGAUUUUUACUACUGCUUAUUUUAGUUUUCUAGUUCAUUCUUUUAAAAAUUACUUUGCAAUAUUUGAUACAUAUCAAAGAAUACUUGUAACACACACUUACGUUAGGGAAAAAAACAGAAUCUGGGUGAAUCUAUACUCCCCUCCCAGAGCAGACAUGACCUCUGUGUGCUGAAGUCCCGGUGGGCUCCCUCUCUCCAGUCAAUUUCCCUGCCUCUCUCCCCAGAGAAAUACUAUUCUCAAAUACCUGUUUAUCAUUCCUUUGUUUUUAAAAAAUAUGGUUUUAACACCUAUUUCUGUAUCUCUGAAGAAAAUAGUGUCUGGUUUUGUUUGUUUUGAGCUUUUUAUAUAAAAAUUCUAUCAUAUUGUGUGUCUCCUGUGACAUGCUUUUUUCCGUCAACAUUAGGUUUCUAAGGUUUCGUCUUUAUUGCGGGUAGAUACAGCUUGUUAUUUUCAUAGCUGAAUAAUAUUCCAGGGGUUGAGUUUAACACCAUCUAUCCAUUCCCCUCACCAGUGAGCAUUCGGGUGUUUUCUAGGUUUUACCAUAGCUAACUUUUGUGCAUGUGCUCUUCAAACUUCUCCUGCCAUAGCCAAUCAAAUUUCUCAGCCUUCCUGCAGGGAGGUAGAGACAAAUGACUGGAUUCUGACCAAUGGACUAGAUGGGAGGAAUAAAUCCCCCUUGUAGACACAGCCCCUACAACUCCUGACAUGCUGUCCUACGGCAGAUGGUCAGUGAAGGAUGCUAGGCCAUAGCGGAUGGCGCAGCCACUAGACAGAAGCAGCCAGGUCCCAGAAACCCGCAUGAAGCAAGCCCCACCUACCCCAACUGAACUGACAUUGCAAGAAAUAAACCUUUAUUGUGUUAGCCACAGAGACUGGGGUUGCUUAUUACAGCUGUUAGGCCUUCCCCACUAGUACAUUUCAAAAUGCACUUGCGUGUGUGUGUGCGUGUGUGUGUGUGUGUGUGUGCAUGUGUGUAGGAUGAGUCAGGGCUGGGGGGUGGGAGGCAAGGGAGGUAUGGCUUUAAAAUGGUACCAGGAAUCCUUGUAGUGAUGGGGAUGUUCUGAAUCUUGACUAUAUCUUCAAUAUCCUAGUUAUUGAUAUUGUACCAGAGUCAUUCAAGACAUUUCAUCAGAAGAAACUGGAUAAAGGGUACACAGGAUCUCUCGGUAUUAUUUCUUAAACUUACAUGUGACUAUACAAUUAUCUCAAAAUAAAGUUUUUAAAAACUAUGAAAGACUAUAUGGUAAACAUGGAGAAAUAUUACUAACAAAACUAUGGAAGGCAGUUUUUCCUUUGUAAUUUCCACAGGUAAGUGGAAUUAGGUACAGAGGACAGUCCUUAGACCCAGAUCUGUCACCCAACACAAACCCUUAAACCUUUGAUUUUUCUCCCCUUAAAAAGAAGGACAGUAACCACCCUACUACCUUCAUGGGGUUUGGGGAGAUUCAAAUUAAUGAGAUGAUAAAGGGGAAAGUACUUUGAAAUAUUAUAAAAUCUUAUAGUGAAUAUUGAAGAGACAGUUCUAAUAAUUUGGGAAUGAUGGAAGCACAGUAUAAAUCCCACUAAAUUUAGAACAGCUGGAAAGUUGCAGGUUCUGAGCUUUUGUGUCAACUCAGUAAUCAGGAUGGCAGGAAGUCAGGAAUUGCACAUCCAUGGUGAUAAGACGUCAAAGUACUUGUUCCCAAUGCAGACAGGAUAUGUAAUAUGGUACUUGUCAUGUAAGAGAGAAGAAAAUUAAGAAUAUGUAUUUAUAAUUUUUAUUCACAUAAAGAAACUGCAAGACAGAAUUUUAAAAACUAGUAAAAGUGAAGAGAAGAGGAAGAGGGUGGAUUGAGCAGGGGUAAGGGCGAGAGUGUUCAUAGUAUAUAUAUGUUUUAAACUAGGUGAAUAUAUUGCCUAUUCAAACAAUAAAAUAAAAAAUUUAAAAAGGAAUAUUCUUAGAGAGGGUCCCUAUAUUUUGUGUAUGGGGGGUUGGGGGACAGUAAUUUUUUGUUUUUCUCAAAGCCUCAGGUCUGGGAGUAUGAAGUUGGUGGAGUUUUAUCACUGAAGUGUGUGUGUGUCCGUGCGUGCAUGCACGCAUGUGCAAGAACAAGCCUGUACAUGCCAGAGAAUUUUGGUCAAAUCCUACCUCUUCCUGUUCCCACAGAGUGGAAAUACCCACGAGUCAUGGAGGGGGAACCACCACAGCAGCUACCCCUGCUUCUCAACUUUCUGCUCCUUAGCUCACUUUAAGAACCACCAUGGAUUUAAUUAUAUUAUUACCUUUAUAUGGGGAAACUAUACUCACUUGACAGGACAAAGUGAGAUCAGAAGUAACAGCUGAGGUCUUUACUCCCACUUCUGCACUAUAACCUCUAGUCAGUACCUUCUUGGAUCACAAGUGGCUUAAAAAACUAAUGCUCUCAGGGCAAAGAUAAAACUGGGUUGUUUCAAAGGACUUUCUAGUUGUAAAAGAAUCUGAUUUAAAAAGUUGAAAUCAAAAAGUAAUUCUUUCUGAUUGUGCUCAUUUUCUGUAACCCGCAUGAUUUCUGGAAUACUGGAAACCAUGAAUGAUGUUGGAGUAAACUGUCUUUGAACAUUAGGGUGUAUAGUCUCUUUUUAUUUACUCUCCAUGAAGUCCCCUGAGCCUGCAAUCUUGGGUAGUUCACCUCCCAGAAAAAUGGGUCUUUGGAAGUAUUCUGCCCUCUUAGGUGAAGGCCAACAGAGCAUGUUUUCAUCUUCUUGUAAAUAGAGUGUGCAAGCACUGUCCCAUCUUGCUGGAUGGGAAAUCGAAAUGGGUUCGACCUUUCUCAUCGACUGACAGCGGUGGAACAGUCUGAACUGAGGGUUUUGGCCAACUCCAUUCUUCCGACAUAAAAUGAAGGCUGUGCCAUUUGGAGAUGCUUUGUUGAGACCACAGUUCAUUUCUGAGGUCUCAGUCAAACAAGGGCAUAAGGAUAAACUUUGCAAAUUCCUUUAAUUUGUCUGACACAGGAAGACAGUUUGUAAUACAUAUGAGGUUUCCAAGCUACAGCCAGAAGAAAAGUAAGAAAUAUUAGCAUAGCCAAAGAGAUUUUUUUCUUUCUUUCUUUUUU